rnacentral:ncRNA from 2 species
CGAUGUUCUCAGGGCGGGGUGGAAAUCCCCACCGGCGGUAAGGGUGAUGAGCCCAAGCCCGCGAGCGCCUUCCUCCGCGAAGCCGGGAGAAGGGUCAGCAGAUUCGGUGCAACUCCGAAGCCGACGGUUACAGUCCGGAUGAAAGAGAACGGUU